rnacentral:rRNA from 1 species
CCUACGGGAGGCAGCAGUGAGGAAUAUUGGUCAAUGGACGAGAGUCUGAACCAGCCAAGUAGCGUGAAGGAUGACUGCCCUAUGGGUUGUAAACUUCUUUUAUAAAGGAAUAAAACGAGGCACGUGUGCCUUUUUGCAUGUACUUUAUGAAUAAGGAUCGGCUAACUCCGUGCCAGCAGCCGCGGUAAGACGGAGGAUCCGAGCGUUAUACGGAUUUAUUGGGGUUAAAGGGAGCGUAGAUGGGUUGUUAAGUCAGUUGUGAAAGGUUUCGGCUCAACCGUAAAAUUGCAACUGAAACUGGCAGUCUUGAGUUCAGUUGAGGUAGGCGGAAUUCGUGGUGUAGCGGUGAAAUGCUUAGAUAUCACGAAGAACUCCGAUUGCGAAGGCAGCUUACUAAACUGCCACUGACAUUGAUGCUCGAAAGUGUGGGUAUCAAACAGGAUUAGAUACCCGAGUAGUC